GCCGGCAGGACCCACGCGGGGCCCGCGCCACUCCUCCCGCUCCGCCCCCGGCUCCUCCCUUCUCGGCGGAAGGCCAGGGACGUGCGGGACCGAUCCGGAAAGCUGAGACCCGGCACGCACACGCACACGCACACGCACACACCUGGCGGUGGAGGUGAAGACCUCGAGUCCCUAGUAUACUCCAAGUGUGGCCCUCGAGUCAGCAGAUCGGCAUCACCUGGGAGCGUGUUAAAAACGCAGCAGCUCAGACUUCGCCCCAAACCUAUCGAAUCAAAAUCAGCAUAUUUAGCAAGACCCCCAGGCUGAGGGCUUUGAGUACAUCACGUCUCAAGCGUCGAAUCGGUGGAAGGCCUCAUAGAGAAACUUGCUUGGCCUUCGUUGUCGUGUUGCUUUUCUUGGAGUAUACAGAAGUAAAAAUGCAAAGAACCACACCAGGUUAAGGCAUUACUGAGGGUCUCCUCUGUGUCCUGGACUCUGGAAAUAAAUGGGUAAACCAAGCUGACACGGUCCUAGACCUCUUGGAGCUUGCAGUCCACUGGGCAAGACAGAAAAUGAACAAUUACACAAACAA